UACGAGGGGGGCGAGCGUUGUUCGGAAUUAUUGGGCGUAAAGGGUGCGUAGGCGGUUUGGUAAGUCUUGUGUGAAAUCUACAGGCUCAACUUGUAGUCUGCACGAGAAACUGCCGGGCUUGAGUAUGGGAGAGGUGAGUGGAAUUUCUGGUGUAGCGGUGAAAUGCGUAGAUAUCAAGUGGAACACCAGUGGCGAAGGCGAGUCUCUGGACAUUUCCUGACGCUGAGGCACGAAAGCCAGGGGAGCAAACGGG
rnacentral:rRNA from 1 species